AGCAGUCGCCGCGGUAAUACGGAGGGAGCUAGCGUUGUUCGGAAUUACUGGGCGUAAAGCGCGCGUAGGCGGUUACUCAAGUCAGAGGUGAAAGCCCGGGGCUCAACCCCGGAACUGCCUUUGAAACUAGGUGACUAGAAUCUUGGAGAGGUCAGUGGAAUUCCGAGUGUAGAGGUGAAAUUCGUAGAUAUUCGGAAGAACACCAGUGGCGAAGGCGGCUCACUGGCUCGUAUCUGACGCUCAGGCGCGAUAGCGUGGGGAUCAAACAGGAUUAGAUACCCGCGUAGUCCCUGUCUCUUAUAC
rnacentral:rRNA from 1 species